rnacentral:lncRNA from 1 species
AAUUUAGGAAGAAUUAACGGCAGCCAGACGCCCUUGCCUGCACCAUCGCCGUCGCCUCCGCCUCCGCCUCCCCCUCCCCGUCCGCCUCCUCCUCCCCCUCCCCUGGCCUGCAGCGUCGCCAUCGCCAACUGACAAAGGAGCAGCCUGGAGUCCAUCCGGCAGUUAGACAACCGGGACGCGAGGCGACGAAACGCGGCUGCAGAUACAAAAAGGAAGCACAGGUGCACAGUUUUAGUUCUCUUGCUUUUUUUGAUCGUAAAGCUUUCUAGAGCUUAAAUAGCACUACUCGUGUUCCAUCUUACCAAGAAUAGAAAGAAUUCUGCAAGGAACAAACAUGCCUAUAGGCUAAUCAAUACUGAUGCAUCACGAACAAACAUGCCUAUAGGCUAAUCAAUACUGCUGCAGCACGAACAAUCUGCUGAUUUUGCGCGUAGCUGGUGCUGCUGAUCUUACCAAGAACAGAAAGAAUUCUCCAAGGAACAAACAUGCCUAUAGGCUAAGAUCACUGAAUUUCUUUACAGAGGGAGUACAGAAUAUUAAAUCCCAACAGCGAAAAAAAUGUUCUGAAAUACUUAUUAUGGCAUUUAUAUAGAAUAACUUAAUUCGAUACUUGCAGCGGUGCAUACUGCAAUAGAGGCAACAAAAAAGGAGAUAUCAAGGAAACACUAAUGUAAGAUUACGUGUGCAAUAACAUUUGGGAUAAUUUAUUAUGCCGAUAUAUGAUUCCCCUGCAACUGCACAACAACAAUAGAGGUUUAUUAUCCUGGGUAAAAAAGUACAAACCAGGAUCAAGUCUCCACCAAGUUUAGUCACAUAUCCAAAGAACUGGUUCUACAUAGAUACAAUAUAUAAACAAUGUAGGCUCUCCAAAUGACAUGUACUUGACUCUAAGAAGGGAAUAAAAUAUCAUAGAAUAUAAUGUACGUAUUUUGUUCUAGCUCGGCACCAAUACUUUUGACUUAAAAAGAAUCAUAGCAAUUGCCUACAUAUAGUAUGACAGAACAUAAAUCUGUCCUAAAAUGGUACCAUGAUUCCAACGAAUGCAAAAUGAACCUGUUAACUGACAUUUUAAUAUGGUUUGAAAAUUAUUCAAUGGAAUAAGGAUAAGUUAAUCGUAAAUCCCAUAAAAAAUUCAAAAGUGAAUUAACAUGCAAGAUAGGUUUGUCCAUCGCACUGUUGGUGAUCACCCUGACUCGAGCAUGCUAGAUUGGUGUAGACUCACUCUUGAGCAUACAAAAAUUGCAUUCAAUUUCAUUAAGGACAUACGUGAUUAAUGGAGGAUCAAGUACUCACCACUAUGUUUUUUUGGGCAUGACCAACAUGGAAGGAAAAUAGCAUUGCUAUCGAGGAUCAAAUAUUAGCAAUGUAAGCCGCAAAUUCCAGGAAGAGAAGAAGAAUUCGGUGAACCCCACAGAAUAUAUACUAAUUCUCAGAGAUAGUAAAUUCGAAUUUCUGCAACCUGCCAAAUUUAAUUAUUUAAGCAUGAGGUCACAAUCAAAAAAAUGAUGCUACUCAAUUAAAAAGAUUAAAUUCAGAAUUGUGAGACUAUAAUGCACAUAAUAAGCAGUACUGAAACUCAAACUGAAUAUUUUUUUAAAGAAAACGGGAGAUGUUAAAAUCAUAUGCAGAAAACAAUAACUUGAAAGGUUAAACUCAUGAAAUUGAACUAUAUAUACAUUCAGACUCCAAGAAUAGUAAAUAAAUUGCACUGGAUAUAUAGUACAGACCUCACAUUAAAAGACGAGUGUUGAUCUGCAGAGUAUGUUACACUCAGUAUAGGCUUUGUUUUGGCUGCAUCUCUGUUAGCAAGUGUUGCAGACCCAAGAUCAAGUGUUACAGAAAUAAUUUCUCAUGUCAUACCAGUGCCUUCUCUAACUAAAGCAAUCACACCUGGAAAAACUUUAGCAGUCAGCAUGUUUGUUUGUGGUUACACUGAACAUACAGAAACGGUAGGCAUAAAAAUCUCCCUUGAAAGAAUUUUCUAAGGAACAAACAUGCCUAUAGGCUAAGUAAUGUCAGGCAUGAAAAUAUCCAAGUGUAUGCAGCUAGAGUGACCAUAAAAGAGAUGAUAUUAUUAAACAGUGGAUGCCCAAUCCAAAAACUUCAGAACUGUCAAUAUGCACGAGUUGACAUGAUAAGUAUUAGCUUUGGGGUGGGAUAAGUGUUAGCAAGAAAAUUUGUGGCAUGAUUAAUUGCAUGUUGUUUAUGGU